rnacentral:tRNA from 1 species
GGGGCUGGGGCUCAGUGGUAGAGCGCCUGCCUCACACAUAUGAGGCACUGGUUCAAUCCUCAGCACCA